CUUCUGCAGGCUAUCAUCAGGACAUCUACACAACAACAGAGCACGUCUGUGGAUGGAGAGAUGUUAUCGUUUGAAAGCAGGAGCCACAGUCGAUGAGUGAUCUGCCGCGUGGUGUGAUUGAUGAAGGACGGCCUGAUGAACACUUGACCAGAUGAAAGAGUGCACUGAAUCCCUCAAUCCUCAAAAAAGGGGAAAUGGCCGAGAAGAUCCAAGAAGGAGAAUUGUAUUUAUGCAAGGUCAUCAGUUCAAACGGUGGUGUUUCCCUGCUUGUUCCUCAUUGGCCGUAUCCUUUUUCUCCUGUGUAGAGCUGCGUCUACAUCGGCGGCCCGGUAAACAUGUUCAGAACCAAAGAUGAAGCAUUACAGCUCAUUUAAAAGUCCCUCUACAACAUGGCUGUCCAAACUUUCUUGCCACAUCAAAAUUGAAGGCCAUUUUGUACAUGAAAUACUAAAACCAGUACACUGUAUGUCAAUAUAUAAUCUGAACAAAACAUCUACAUCUUAGCUUUUUGUUAUAGCUAACAAAGCAAAUUCUAUAUAUUCGUCAUUAUUUUUAUGAUUUUAUUUUUAUUUUUAAUAUGAAAUGUACGAAUUGUGCUGUAAAAUAAACUUGUCUUGCCUAAUCUAAACCCCUUGAAAUUUUUCAUUGAUUUUUAUUGUUAUUCUAUACUCAUUUUAUUAUACCAACUACAUUUUUGGAAGGAAAAAAAAGAAAAAACAUACCAUAUAU